CCUACGGGUGGCAGCAGUGGGGAAUAUUGGGCAAUGGGCGCAAGCCUGACCCAGCAACGCCGCGUGAAGGAAGAAGGCUUUCGGGGUGUAAAGUUCUGUUAGGAGGGACGAAGGAAGUGACGGUACCGCAGGAAUAAGCCACGGCUAACUACGGGCCAGCAGCCGCGGUAAUACGGAGGUGGCAAGCGUUUGCCGGAUUUAUGGGGGGUAAAGGGCGUGUCGGCGGGAACGAAAGUCAGGUGUGAAAACUCAGGGCCCAACCCUGAGCCUGCAUUUGAAACUGUUUUUCUUGAGUGCUGGAGAGGCAAUCGGAAUUCCGUGUGUAGCGGUGAAAUGCGUAGAUAUACGGAGGAACACCAGUGGCGAAGGCGGCUUGCUGGACCGUAACUGACGCUGAGGCGCGAAAGCGUGGGGAGCAAACAGGAUUAGAUACCCUUGUAGUC
rnacentral:rRNA from 1 species